ensembl:snRNA RNU6-540P RNA, U6 small nuclear 540, pseudogene
GUGCUCACUUCGGCAGCACAUAUACUAAAAUUGGAAUAAGAAGAUUAGCAUGGCCCCUGUGCAAGGAUGACACACAAAUUUGUGAAGUGUGCCAUAUUUUU